AAUAGCUCGUACUCCCCGAAAUGCAUUUAGGUGCAGCGUUGAUUUAUAGUUUUAUAGAGGUAGAGCUACUGAUUGGAUGCGGGGGCUUCACCGCCUACCAAUUCCUGACAAACUCCGAAUGCUAUAAAAUGAUAAUCAGCAGUGAGGGCAUGGGUGCUAAGGUCCAUGUCCGAAAGGGAAAGAACCCAGACCAUCAGCUAAGGUCCCCAAAUGUAUGUUAAGUUGAAAAAACGCGGUUGAACUGCUUAGACAGCUAGGAUGUUGGCUUGGAAGCAGCCAUUCAUUUAAAGAGUGCGUAACAGCUCACUAGUCGAGCGGUUCAGCAUGGAUAAUAAUCGGGCAUAAACAUACUACCGAAGCUAUGGGAUCCUGCAAGAGCAGUGAUCGGUAGGGGAGCAUUCUAAUUGUGUUGAAGGUGUGCUGUGAGGCAUGCUGGAACGGUUAGAAAAGAAAAUGUAGGCAUAAGUAACGAUAAUGCGGGCGAGAAACCCGCACACCGAAAGACCAAGGUUUCCUCAGCUAUGCUAAUCAGCUGAGGGUUAGUCAGGGCCUAACGCGAACCCGAAUGGGGUAGUGGAUGGACAACGGGUUAAUAUUCCCGUACCUGCUCACGCUAAAAGUGACGGAUUCGAAAAGUUGGUGCGCACAGACGGAAUUGUGCGUUGAAGGGAGGGGUAACCCCCCGAUAGUACACUAAGGCUACGGCUGCGGUGAUAAUCCAGCAAAUCGAGUUCCAAGAAAAGCGAGUGAAGCAGCCUGUACCGUAAACCGACACAGGUGGUUGGGAUGAGAAUUCUAAGGUGCUCGAGAGAUUCAUGGCUAAGGAACUAGGCAAAAUCGACCCGUAACUUCGGGAGAAGGGUCGCCCAUCUUUUGAUGGGCCGCAGUGAAGAGGUCCAGGCGACUGUUUAUCAAAAACACAGGGCUCUGCUAAAUGGAAACAUGAAGUAUAGGGCCUGACACCUGCCCGGUGCCGGAAGGUUAAGAGGAGGGUUUAGCUUCGGCGAAGAUCUGAAUUGAAGCCCCGGUAAACGGCGGCCGUAACGAUAACGGUCCUAAGGUAGCGAAAUUCCUUGUCGGGUA
rnacentral:rRNA from 1 species